UACGGAGGAUGCGAGCGUUAUCCGGAUUUAUUGGGUUUAAAGGGUGCGCAGGCGGCGUGUCAAGUCAGCGGUAAAAUGUCGGGGCUCAACCCCGGCCGGCCGUCGAAACUGGCGUGCUCGAGUUGGAGAGAAGUAUGCGGAAUUCGUGGUGUAGCGGUGAGAUGCAUAGAUAUCACGAAGAACCCCGAUUGCGAAGGCAGCCUGCCGCAGCGUUACUGACGCUGAAGCUCGAAAGCGCGGGUAUCGAACAGG
rnacentral:rRNA from 1 species